AUUUCUCUCAAAUCAUCUCUUCUCAAGCUCCAUGUCUCCCCUGUCUUCUUCUCUCACUUCCAUGGGAGACCACGACUACACUCAUGGCGGCGUGCGGUGGCUCACAACGAUGAUGUGCGGUGGUUUCCAUGGAAGCCGAAGAACAUUGACAGAUAGAGCUAGCUCGGUGGUUAGUGCUCUGCCCACUGUUCUUGAGAAUCCAAGCCCACCCAAAUCAUCCUUCAAUGAGGUAGAUUUGAAUGUAAGGUGCCAGCAAUACUGAUAGUUGUAGCUGCCAUUGGAUGAGUUUCCAUAAUUUUUUUAUUUGUUUAUUGCAUUUACAUGAGAAGAAUAAAGGGAUCAUGACGAGGCGACCUUUGGUCUUGCAGCUUGACAAGACAAACGAGGGAGCUCAGAAAUACGCCAAGUUUCUUCACCUUUGCAAUAGGAGAUUCACAGAUUUUGGUAUAUUGAGAUGAUUUCUUUGGAGUAGUUCUUGACAACAUUUGUAGUUGAGGCCUUUAGAAUGGAAGAAUGUAUUUCACUAAUUUUUGUAUACAUUUCUUGUUUUGUAUUUAGUGAUAAAGGAAUCUGAAUUGGGCAUAAAUUAUGUUGUAAUAUGAUUUCUUAAGCCUAGACUAGUAGACUAAAUAUUGUAAUUACAUUUGAGUAAUUAAUAAAAAUUUAUUUAUGUUACCUUA